AAACGACUGAUAUCCGACACUAUAUAAGUUGUCUUCUCAAAACUCAAGGAUUAAGUCAUUAAAAUGAUGUCCAAGACAUUUAUCACAUGUGUCAUCUUUCUUGUUUGCUACAUAACAUGUGUCUACCUGACGCCGAUGGCUCAAACAAACAGAGGAAAUAAGGUUUUAUCCAACAUCAAUAUCACGGUCAUAAAGGUCGAGGAUGUAGGAAAUGGUCUUCGACUUUUAACCUAAUAAAAA